rnacentral:rRNA from 1 species
GUCGAGCGAACAGACGAGGAGCUUGCUCCUCUGACGUUAGCGGCGGACGGGUGAGUAACACGUGGAUAACCUACCUAUAAGACUGGGAUAACUUCGGGAAACCGGAGCUAAUACCGGAUAAUAUAUUGAACCGCAUGGUUCAAUAGUGAAAGACGGUUUUGCUGUCACUUAUAGAUGGAUCCGCGCCGCAUUAGCUAGUUGGUAAGGUAACGGCUUACCAAGGCGACGAUGCGUAGCCGACCUGAGAGGGUGAUCGGCCACACUGGAACUGAGACACGGUCCAGACUCCUACGGGAGGCAGCAGUAGGGAAUCUUCCGCAAUGGGCGAAAGCCUGACGGAGCAACGCCGCGUGAGUGAUGAAGGUCUUCGGAUCGUAAAACUCUGUUAUUAGGGAAGAACAAAUGUGUAAGUAACUAUGCACGUCUUGACGGUACCUAAUCAGAAAGCCACGGCUAACUACGUGCCAGCAGCCGCGGUAAUACGUAGGUGGCAAGCGUUAUCCGGAAUUAUUGGGCGUAAAGCGCGCGUAGGCGGUUUUUUAAGUCUGAUGUGAAAGCCCACGGCUCAACCGUGGAGGGUCAUUGGAAACUGGAAAACUUGAGUGCAGAAGAGGAAAGUGGAAUUCCAUGUGUAGCGGUGAAAUGCGCAGAGAUAUGGAGGAACACCAGUG